GGAUAUAGCUCAGUCGGUACAGUGCUUGCCUCACAUGCACAAGACCCUGGGUUCAAUCCCCAGCACCA
rnacentral:tRNA from 1 species